CAUGUACAGAUCUGCUGUAAGGGCUGGAAACUUGGCAUUUUCAUACAGAGCCAAAAUUUGAUGUGCUCAAAGAAAACUUUAAGUUAGAAAUGUUACUCUGGUUUUUAUGAAUUUUCUAGCAGUUGAGGGAAUGGGUUCUUGUAAAUACAGUUACUCCUAGUUUUCUUCCUGAAAACCAUAUGUAAAGUAUAUAUAUGGUCUUCAAAUGGAAGGUUUUUUUGUUUUUUUUAGCUGUGCCUCUGUGGGCUGAGUGACCGUGACCGCAAGGUGGCUCAUGGAGAACUGGUGGGUGUGCAACUGCUACUGGAAGAUGUUCUGAGUAGCUAUCAUGUGACCAUGGAGGCCCCCCAAAGACAGCAAGCCACACUGGGCAAAAAUACACAGCCAGAUUGGUCCAAAGUGCCAGGAUUCAGAAGUCAGUUCCGAAGCAGCCCAAAGACCUCUGAGCUGCUGGAGGGCCCGUGCGAUGCGGUGAUGUCCUUUGCUUUGCUGAGAUCAUUUCUGAUACUGUGGAAGC
rnacentral:sRNA from 1 species